UGCGUAGAAUCUUCUGAACAGUCAACUCCUCCGCGACAUUAAGCUUAAUGAUGAAAUUUUUAACCGCAGUGCUGGUAGUGAUGGCAGUGGCCUUUCUCCUGAUUGUUGAAUCUGAAGCUUGGAGGCAGUGCACCCAUGAUGGGCAGUGUUUGAUUCUUUGCUAUCGAGGGGUCCCCACGUGUAGGAACUCUUACUGCACAUGCUCCAAUUUCUGAAAAUAAUUUAACGAAGAUCAUUAAUUCUGUUGAAUGCUUCAUAGAAUUAAACCGAUAAGUCUUAUAAUCAUUUUUAUUACUCAGGUCGAUAUCAAGUUUUUAAAAAAUUAUCAUAUCGAAUUGUCAAGAAUUUAAUAGACUCUGUAGAAACCAGAAUAUUUUCAGUGAGUUAUAUCUUUCUUUAUUAUUCGACGAAAUAUUGAGAUUUAAACAGCUCUAGAUAAAAUUCGUUUUUUUUUUUUUCAUUCAGUUGUCAGUCAAUUUUUCUUUGUAAUAUUACGAAAAAUAGUUCAAAAGAAAUGGGAAAUGCCGAUUACAAUAAAUUAUAAUGAAAAAUCAACAUCUGGAGACAUUUUUCUGUCGAGAAUUAUGGAGUGACAAAAAAAGGUUGUUUUCGAAUUUUGAAAUUAAAUAAAAAUACGUUUUAAGGUUUUUAUAAGAAAUUUGUUUAUAUGGGCGUAAUUCUUUCCGGAAAGUCAAUCUCAUGGUGACAUUUCCGUUAUAAUGAAACCACAAUAAAGUUCUUCAGCAAUA